ACUGUUGGCCGAUGGCAUGUAUGCAUAAUGUUUUUGCACCACCAAUUGAUUGGCAUCCUCAUCUUUGGCUAGAAAAUAAGGAGAACAUUGGCAGCAGAAGAUGUUAGUUUAUUGGAUAUUACAGCUCCAAUGGUACAGCUACGUGUUGCAUGGGAAGGCAUGUAAUAUGCAACCAAAAUUUUAAAAAUUUCUCAUAUUAUCC
rnacentral:lncRNA from 1 species